UACGUAGGGGGCUAGCGUUGUCCGGAAUCAUUGGGCGUAAAGAGCGUGUAGGCGGCCCGGUAAGUCCGCUGUGAAAGUCGGGGGCUCAACCCUCGAAUGCCGGUGGAUACUGUCGGGCUAGAGUGCGGAAGAGGCGAGUGGAAUUCCUGGGUGUAGCGGUGAAAUGCGCAGAUAUCAGGAGGAACACCGAUUGCGAAGGCAGCUCGCUGGGACGUCACUGACGCUGAGACGCGAAAGCGUGGGGAGCGAACAGG
rnacentral:rRNA from 1 species